rnacentral:misc_RNA from 1 species
GCCUUGUCAAGGUCAAUAGCUGUUGGAGGCUUAUCCUUCCCAUUUGCAUACAGGAACACCUGAGCUUGUCUCAUCUGAUCAGUGAAGCCUGUCUGUUGGGAUAAUAUAUCAAGGGCACUCUGCCCAUUGUUCAACAUUGUUGCAGCAAUAAAAACAGAUUUAGCAAUCUGAGAAGGAAACAACUCCAUCAUAUAUGAUAUGCAAGCACCACCAAUAUCAUGUCCCACCAAGAUCACCUUCUCUCCUUCUUGGAGCUUGUUAAAAAUAUCAGUAAGUGGCUUUAUGUAUUGGGAUAGAGUCUUAAUGCUAUUUGUAUCAGAUGAAUGGGUGCCAGAUCCUGUUAAGUCAACAGCAUCAACUCUGAACCCACUUUCCACUAGAAGUGUUAUGAUUUUAUACCAACACCAGGCACCAAAACCACCUCCAUGAACAAGGACCAAAUGCUUGGUUUCAAGGUCUUCAAUCUUUAGAUCCUGGUUAACAAGCUGGCUUGGUUUCAACAAAGGAUCGGCAAGAGAUCGCUGUCUAGAGCUUGAACUCUUUGUAAAACCUUGCUUCUUAUGGGAUCCCUGCUGAGAAGCAUAUGUUACAGAAGAGGAUCUUGGGAAUGGAAGAGUGCCAUUUCUUUGAUGAUGGCGAAACAGCAUAGCUGCAGCAAUAGCUUGUUCUGCUAAAUCUUCAUCAAGCUGCUCUUCGUUAAUAUUAUUAAGAUUAUUCUCCUCUUUCUUGGAAGAAGAAAGAGAAGGUAAUAUGAAGCCAUGAUCUUUUCUAUUGGAA